rnacentral:rRNA from 1 species
GAAAUGCGAUACUUGGUGUGAAUUGCAGAAUCCCGUGAACCAUCGAGUCUUUGAACGCAAGUUGCGCCCGAGGCCUUUCGGUUGAGGGCACGCCUGCCUGGGCGUCACGC